rnacentral:lncRNA from 1 species
GCUCAGCAGACGACGUAGUUCUUGUGCUCUUCCCGCCUCGCCUUUCUUUUCUUGGUUUCAAUCCCUGGUGUUGCAAGCCAAUUCCCGGGUCUUGUUAGGCGGGAAACACAGACUGCAUUACCCAUGUUUGAAACUGGAUUUGCGCGUUUGGGAAGCAAGAAUGGGGUUACUCUGCUGGAAAAGCUUGACAUUGCAAAUAAGGGAUUUUUACCCUACGGUUCCACAAGUUCCCACUAAGUAUCUGGUACGCGGAAGAGAGGGACAAGGAAGCACAGAGGCUCAGAACAGUUCGUUGUUCACCUCGUCUUUCUACCACAUAAUUCUGCCUCUAGAAAUACAGGAGAAAGAGUAGCCACGCAAAGCUUCUAGGAACUCCUGGGAGAAGCAUUCAUAAACUCUUAUUGCUGCCAGUUCAUCUUGGGGCCUUUCGGUGUGAAGAAAUGGAUCCUUAUCAAAUACUUUUGUGAAAGAACAUUUACAUCCUGCUUUAUUCCAGAAGAAAAGAUUUAAGUCACUUUGGUUACACAGGGAAAACCUGGAAGAGGGGAGAUACAGAAGAACCCAUACCCGCAUGGCCUGAAGACAGGCUAAAAGACUGAUGGGAGCUUGCGACCCUACAGAGUUGGAACCGCUCUGCGCUCACAGGCCUGGGAGCUUAGUGCCCAGUGGCCAGGGACCCCCCCUAGGAUUCCUUUGUGGAUCAAAGGCAAAGAAAGAAGGGCUUCUGAAGGCCUGGCACAGCUACAAGGAUUCUCCUGACAGUAUGGCACAUCUGUCUAGCACGUCAUGUUUCGGGGAAGCCUUUCCCAACGGUGUCAUGAGGCUGGCAGGGUGGGCAUUCUGUCCAUCAGCGAGGAGCAGAUGGAGAGCCAAAGAGGAUGAGUGAAUUGCCGACGCGCACGCCUGGUUCAGGAUCAGCAUCCAGGUCUCCUCAUUAAGUCCAAUGAGCUUUCAGCUCUGUCAUGCUGCCUCUUCUUCCCCAGAGGGCUUGGGAAACAUAAGCAACUGCCUACAGGAAAUAUGCUUCACCUUCCUCACAGACACGGCGUUCCAGAACCAGACUCCAUGGAAACAGAACACAGAGGGUGUGUACAUGCAUGUCUUCUAGACCCACUCCAGUUCUCAUCAGAAGCUGAUGAGCCACCCCACAGUUCACGGCGGGUCAGACCUAAUCCGUAUCCUCUUCAAAAUAGGCCAGAAAAAUGGAAUCACUGGAUAUCAGAAGAGAAAGGGAACCACAGAGUCUUGCUAGUCUAAUGCCUUUAUUUUAAGGAUGAAGAAAUAGCCUUUUGUUUUGUUUUUCAGAAUUAUUGAGAUAUAAUGUACAAAGUGGUAAGAUACUUAAAGUUACAACAUGAUUUUGAAACAACCUUGCCUUGUGAAAGGACUCCCCCAUCAUGUUAAUUACCCUAAUAAUCACUUCACAUAUUUACCUUUGUGUGUGUAUGUUUGAGAAUAUUUAAGUUCUACUCUCUCAGCAAAUUUCAAUUAUACAAAUACAGUGUUAUCAACUAUAGUCACCAUGUUAUACAGUAGAUCCUCAGACUUCAUUCAUCUUGUAACUAAAAGUUUACACAAUUUGGCUGACUUCUCCUAUUUCUCCUACCUCCAGUCCCUUCAACCAUUUUCUACAUUCUGUUUCUUAGAGUUUUUUAAAGAUUUUACAUAUAAGUGAUACUAUGCAG